AGUGAACGCUGGCGGUAGGCCUAACACAUGCAAGUCGAACGGCAGCACAGUAAGAGCUUGCUCUUACGGGUGGCGAGUGGCGGACGGGUGAGGAAUACAUCGGAAUCUACUUUUUCGUGGGGGAUAACGUAGGGAAACUUACUCUAAUACCGCAUACGACCUACGGGUGAAAGCAGUGGAUCUUCGGACCUUGCGCGAUUGAAUGAGCCGAUGUCGGAUUAGCUAGUUGGCGGGGUAAAGGCCCACCAAGGCGACGAUCCGUAGCUGGUCUGAGAGGAUGAUCAGCCACACUGGGACUGAGACACGGUCCAGACUCCUACGGGAGGCAGCAGUGGGGAAUAUUGGACAAUGGGCGCAAGCCUGAUCCAGCCAUACCGCGUGGGUGAAGAAGGCCUUCGGGUUGUAAAGCCCUAUUGUUGGGAAAGAAAAGCAGCAGGUUAAUACCCCGCUGUUCUGACGGUACCCAAAGAAUAAGCACCGGCUAACUUCGUG
rnacentral:rRNA from 1 species